rnacentral:rRNA from 1 species
CCCUUAGAUGUUCGGGGCCGCACGCGCGCUACACUGAUGGGGACAGCGUGUUUGCCAUUCCUGGUCCGGCAGGAUUGGGCAAUCCGUUGAACCCCCGUCGUGAUUGGGAUCGGAGCUUGUAACUAUUCUCCGUAAACGAGGAAUUCCCAGUAAGCGCAAGUCAUCAGCUUGCGUUGAUUACGUCCCUGCCCUUUGUACACACCGCCCGUCGCUACUACCGAUUGAGUGGUCCGGUGAGGCUUUGGGAUCUGAGCGGAAAGAGCGUUUCGCUGUUUCUGCCCGGAAAACUCAGUCGAACCUUAUCAUUUAGAGGAAGGAGAAGUCGUAACA